UUCCUGAUGCCCAGGAUUUGGGAACCGCGGGUUUGAGUUUCAGGGCGUCCGGCAGCCGCAGGGAAACGUCGUCGCGGCUUAUCGCGCCAACUUCGUGCAGCUUCAACCUGAGUAAAAAAAUCUCCUUUGCUGUUGAGGAGGCAGCACCGCCGUGGUCUCCCUUGAGACAUCUUCCUCAGAAUAUUGAACACUCUCCUCAAACUCAGUACCUACUAUCAUCAAGAACGUGACAGUCUGAAAAACAGAAUUCUUGGAAGCAUUCUGGAGAAAACUGAAAAAUAGUCGCCCUUCACAUCGAAGGUUAUAAGACCUCCAUUCCAAAAGGAGCUCUGCCCCAUGCCAGGAAGGAAGGAAUGCUGCACAGAGAGGUCAAGAAGAAUCUGACCAGAAAGGCCUUGCUGGGUUUCCCCACUCAGUCUAUUAGCAUUAGAGGUGCCAGCUAUGACCCUUACGAUAGGAAGGAAAGAGAUCCACCAUUUCUGCCCCUAUAAUCCUGGUGAUGAGGAUGGGAUGGCUGAAGCAACUGACUCACCUACUGAUGAGGUCCCGGGACAACUAGCAAAAAGUUGGCAAAGAAAGACUGAGAGGACUGCAGGACCAUGUCAUUUGGAGGACAUCAAGCUAUUUGAUACCUGGCAAUCUGGAUGAAAAAUCCUCUACAAGACCUUCAGAGGGCUCCAUCAUCUGGGAGAACAACAAGAAUUCCAAAUUGGGGAAUAUGUGAGAUUUGGAUGUAUAUUUUUUGGUAAUUAAAACAGUAGACUGAUCUCAAGAGGGUCAUCAAUGCGACUAACAAUGACCUAAAGGAGAAACGUCAGAUCCUGCAUGCUUAGGCACUGUCAUGGUAUAAAUUGGUAGAAAGUUUUGUUCAGCUUUAAACUUACAAGAAAACUUCAAGUAAAGAUAGAUAAGCUUUGCCUCUAUUCAUUGGUUAAAACCUGAGAAACUCUCCAACAAAAGAUGUAAAUUGUACUGUAUGUAUAUUUUUAAAAAAUCAACCACAUUGGCAACAGAAACCAAGGUUGAAUGGAGACUAUGAAAAAAUAAUGUGAUGAAUAUGUGACAUAACCCUUUUGAAAAUGACAAAUACUUUGUCCAGCCAUUUAGUGACUACAGACUGUAAGGCUGAAGAUGAAAGAGUUGUACAUAGAUACUAUGUUUAGGUGGUAGAUUGGUUUCUCACAGGGAUUCUGGUUAGUUGUUCUGGAACUACUUUACAUUAAUUACUAGGGUUAAAUAAAUAAGUAAA